GAUGAACGCUAGCGGCAGGCCUAAUACAUGCAAGUCGAGGGGUAACAUGGAAGCUUGCUUCUGAUGACGACCGGCGAACGGGUGCGUAACGCGUAUGGAACUUGCCUCAAACUAUGGGAUAGCCCCGGGAAACUGGGAUUAAUACCGUAUAAUAUAUUCAGCUCGCAUGGGUAGAAUAUUAAAGAUUUAUCGGUUUGAGAUAGCCAUGCGUGACAUUAGCUAGAUGGUGAGGUAACGGCUCACCAUGGCUACGAUGUCUAGGGGGUCUGAGAGGAUGAUCCCCCACACUGGUACUGAGACACGGACCAGACUCUUACGGGAGGCAGCAGUAGGGAAUAUUGGUCAAUGGGCGAAAGCCUGAACCAGCCAUGCCGCGUGCAGGAGGACGGCCCUCCGGGUUGUAAACUGCUUUUAUAUGAGAAGAAACCCCCUGAUGCGUUAGGGGCUGACGGUACCAUAUGAAUAAGGAUCGGCUAACUACG
rnacentral:rRNA from 1 species